GACAGAGGGGGCAAACGUUGUUCGGAAUUACUGGGCGUAAAGCGCGUGUAGGCGGCCCGGUAAGUCGGAUGUGAAAGCCCUGGGCUUAACCUAGGAAGUGCAUUCGAAACUCCCGGGCUUGAGUACUGGAGAGGAAGGCGGAAUUCUCGGUGUAGAGGUGAAAUUCGUAGAUAUCGAGAGGAACACCGGUGGCGAAGGCGGCCUUCUGGACAGUGACUGACGCUGAGACGCGAAAGCGUGGGGAGCAAACAGG
rnacentral:rRNA from 1 species